UACGGAGGGUGCAAGCGUUAAUCGGAAUUACUGGGCGUAAAGCGUGCGCAGGCGGUUGUGCAAGACAGAUGUGAAAUCCCCGGGCUCAACCUGGGAACUGCAUUUGUGACUGCACGGCUGGAGUGCGGCAGAGGGGGAUGGAAUUCCGCGUGUAGCAGUGAAAUGCGUAGAUAUGCGGAGGAACACCGAUGGCGAAGGCAAUCCCCUGGGCCUGCACUGACGCUCAUGCACGAAAGCGUGGGGAGCAAACAGG
rnacentral:rRNA from 1 species